UACGUAGGGUGCAAGCGUUGUCCGGAAUUAUUGGGCGUAAAGAGCUCGUAGGCGGCUUGUCACGUCGGAUGUGAAAAUCCAGGGCUCAACCCUGGACCUGCAUUCGAUACGGGCAGGCUAGAAUUCGGUAGGGGAGACUGGAAUUCCUGGUGUAGCGGUGAAAUGCGCAGAUAUCUGGAGGAAUACCGGUGGCGAAGGCGGCAUCCUGGACCGGCAUUGACGCUGAGGAGCGAAAGCCAGGGGAGCAAACGGG
rnacentral:rRNA from 1 species